rnacentral:lncRNA from 1 species
AAAUGAAAUAAUAGUAGUACCAUCAUGCACCACUUCAUGAAAAACUGUUAUGCCUUCCAUAGUAUAUUCCGAAGAAGCUGUUUUAGUGAAAGAACAGGCAAAAAUAGCCCAUCUUGAAAAAAUUAGUUGGUAUCUAUGUUUGGAUAGAAGGAGCAUCUAUGCUUUUGAUAAAUGGAUAUACCAUACCAAAAUCAAGCCUAUCCAAGGACAAGGAACUAUUUA